rnacentral:rRNA from 1 species
CCUACGGGAGGCAGCAGUGGGGAAUAUUGCGCAAUGGGCGAAAGCCUGACGCAGCGACGCCGCGUGAGGGAUGAAGGUCUUCGGAUCGUAAACCUCUGUCAGCCGGGAAGCACGGUCACUGUGCUAAUCAGCAGUGAAUUGACGGUACCUGCAAAGGAAGCACCGGCUCACUCCGUGCCAGCAGCCGCGGUAAUACGGGGGGUGCGGGCGUUAAUCGGAAUUACUGGGCGUAAAGCGCUCGUAGGCGGUAUGUCAAGUCAAGGGGGAAAUGCCCGCGCUCAACGUGGGAACUGCCUUUGAAACUGGCAAGCUGGAGUGUGUGAGAGGAUAGUGGAAUGCCAGGUGUAGGAGUGAAAUCCGUAGAUAUCUGGAGGAACAUCAGUGGCGAAGGCGACUAUCUGGCACAUAACUGACGCUGAGGAGCGAAAGCGUGGGUAGCAAACAGGAUUAGAUACCCGGGUAGUC